UUUUUCCUUGGAGAACCAUAAUGGAGGGAAAUUCACUCAAGGCGAAUUCAGUUGGAUUUGUAAGGUCACUGUCAAUCCAUGUUAUUUCUCCAAUGCUGUAGCUGUGAGUAACGGUUCCUGUGCAGAGAACAUUUCCUGAGGUGCUGGCUCCUGUUUUGAAUUCAGAUGGACAUUCUGAUUCAUUCUGCAGUGGUCGGAGGCAGGGAGACUGUGAAAGGAAGAGUCCUUUUUCUACUGAAGUGCCAAGCUGAGCCAUGCCAGAAUUCUUCAGAACAGAAAUGUCAGGUAAAACAAAUGGUACUUCCCUGGUCAUUCCUUUGUUUAGGUGGCAGUAUUGUGAAGAGCAGUGUUUUGAGAGGUAAACGCUUGAUACAUUUCUCAUUGUCUUCCCAAUAACAGUGGCAAUAUUGCACUGGGCAUCGAUUUGGUUGGUGCCAGACCUCAACUGUGUUUUUGCAAACAUUGAACUAAGCAGAUCUGCCCUCUGCAAGUAUGUCUUUGGGGUCACACCAUCUGUAGUUAUGGAUUUCACCAGCUGCAAGAGUGUGUUAUCACUGUCAUUCAUGACAACAUUUUGAAAUGCAGAGCUGUCACAGAAAGUACAGCAUAAGCACUGACAAAAGGCAUCAAAGGAACAGAUGAUGAAUCUGCAUGGAGCCAUUCAGUGCAGGAACUCGGAGCAAAUCCGCAUAUUUCCUUCGAUGAAGGAAAGAUGCCGAGAAACGAAGCGAUCGACUCGCAUGGGUAAGUUCUCAUGUUUGAACAGACCAUGUUUUACAUUUUUGAAUUCAGCUUCAACAUUGGAUGA